rnacentral:rRNA from 1 species
GACGAACGCUGGCGGCGUGCUUAACACAUGCAAGUCGAACGGAAAGGCCUCUUUCGGGGGGUACUCGAGUGGCGAACGGGUGAGUAACACGUGAGUAACCUGCCCUUGACUUUGGGAUAACUUCAGUAAACUGGGGCUAAUACCGGAUAGGAGCUCCUGCUGCAUGGUGGGGGUUGGAAAGUUUCGGCGGUUGGGGAUGGACUCGCGGCUUAUCAGCUUGUUGGUGGGGUAGUGGCUUACCAAGGCUUUGCCGGGUAGCCGGCCUGAGAGGGUGACCGGCCACAUUGGGACUGAGAUACGGCCCAGACUCCUACGGGAGGCAGCAGUGGGGAAGAUUGCACAAUGGGUGAAAGCCGGAUGCAGCAACGCCGUGUGCGGGAUGACGGCCUUCGGGUUGUAAACCGCUUUCGCUCAUGACGAAGCUUUGUGUGACGGUAGUGGGUAAAGAAGCACCGGCUAACUACGUG